GAUGAACGCUAGCUACAGGCUUAACACAUGCAAGUCGAGGGGAAACGGCAUUAAGUUCUUGCACUUUUUGGACGUCGACCGGCGCACGGGUGAGUAACGCGUAUCCCACCUUCCCAUGACUAAUUGAUAACCUUCCGAAAGGCAGACUAAUACCUUAUGUUCUUCACUGACGGCAUCAGAUGUUAAGUAAAGAUUUGUCUGUUAUGGAUGGGGAUGCGUCUGAUUAGCUUGUUGGCGGGUUAACGGCCCACCAAGGCAACGAUCAGUAGGGGUUCGGAGAGGAAGGUGCCUGAGAUGGGAACUGAGAAAAGGUCCAAAGACAUACGGGAGGCAGCAGUGAGGAAGAUUGGUGAAUGGGAGAGAGCAUGAAGCAGCCAAGUAGCGUGCAGGAAGACGGCCCUAUGGGUUGUAAACUGCUGUUGUAUGGGGAUAAAGGCAAUCACGUGUGAGUGUUUGAAGGUACCAUACGAAUAAGGACCGGCUAAUUACGUG
rnacentral:rRNA from 1 species